UUGGACCGCACAGCUAACGGUCUCCCGACACCGACCGCCGCGCUAAACCCGUCCCUGCUCCGAGCUAAACCACAUGUUAGCUCACCAUCUGUCCGAUUUUCAGUAGUCCCGGGAUGGUUCGGGUGUAACCCAUGUUGAGGCAGCCGUCCGAACCGGAUGUCCUGGCGGUGGUCGUGGAGGUCGUGAUGACGGUCGGAUGCCUCUGUCAAUUCACCCGGAUCAACGUAACGACGUCCGAGUCAAAACAAUACAGACCAGGAUGCUCAGCGACACCAGCGGGAGAUUGAAGAACCCCAUGGUCGUCUGGAGGAGGGACCACAUUUGAAGGCACAAACACGAACAAAAACUCCAGGAUCAGAAAUAUUUUUAAUUAUGACGUUUGAUUAUGGCCAGUUGAAAAAAUGCUUCUUCAUUUUUUAAAAAUA